AUUGAACGCUGGCGGCAGGCUUAACACAUGCAAGUCGAGCGGGGUGAUGGUGCUUGCACUAUCACUUAGCGGCGGACGGGUGAGUAAUGCUUAGGAAUCUGCCUAUUAGUGGGGGACAACAUCUCGAAAGGGAUGCUAAUACCGCAUACGUCCUACGGGAGAAAGCAGGGGAUCACUUGUGACCUUGCGCUAAUAGAUGAGCCUAAGUCGGAUUAGCUAGUUGGUGGGGUAAAGGCCUACCAAGGCGACGAUCUGUAGCGGGUCUGAGAGGAUGAUCCGCCACAUGGGGAAGGAGACAGGGCCCAGACUCCUAGGGGAGGCAGCGGUGGGGAAUAUUGGACAAUGGGGGGAACCCUGACCAAGCCAUGCGGGGUGUGUGAAGAAGGCCUUAUGUUUAUAAAGCACUUUAAGCGAGGAGGAGGCUCUUUUGGUUAAUCCCCAAGAUGAGUGGACGUUACUCGAAGAAAAAGCACCGGCUAACUCGGUGCCAGCCGCCGCGGUAA
rnacentral:rRNA from 1 species